rnacentral:rRNA from 1 species
GACGAACGCUGGCGGCGUGCCUAAUACAUGCAAGUAGAACGCUGAAGAGAGGAGCUUGCUCUUCUUGGAUGAGUUGCGAACGGGUGAGUAACGCGUAGGUAACCUGUCUUGUAGCGGGGGAUAACUAUUGGAAACGAUAGCUAAUACCGCAUAACAAUGGCUGACACAUGUCAUUUAUUUUAAAGGGGCAAUUGCUCCACUACAAGAUGGACCUGCGUUGUAUUAGCUAGUAGGUGAGGUAAUGGCUCACCUAGGCGAAGAUACAUAGCGGACCGGAGAGGGAGAGCGGCCACACUCAGACUGAGACACGGCCCAGACUCCGACGGGAGGCAGCAGUAGGGGAGCGGCGGCAAGAGGGGCGACCCUGACCGAGCAACACCGCGUGAGUGAAGAAGGUUAUCGGAUCGUAAAGCUCAGUUGUAAGUCAAGAACGGGUGUGAGAGUGGAAAGGUCACACUGUGACGGUAGCUUACCAGAAAGGGACGGCUAACUACGUG